AGUGAACGCUGGCGGUAGGCCUAACACAUGCAAGUCGAACGGCAGCACCGUAAGAGCUUGCUCUUACGGGUGGCGAGUGGCGGACGGGUGAGGAAUACAUCGGAAUCUACUUUUUCGUGGGGGAUAACGUAGGGAAACUUACUCUAAUACCGCAUACGACCUACGGGUGAAAGCAGGGGAUCUUCUGACCUUGCGCGAUUGAAUGAGCCGAUGUCGGAUUAGCUAGUUGGCGGGGUACAGGCCCACCAAGGCGACGAUCCGUAGCUGGUCUGAGAGGAUGAUCAGCCACACUGGAACUGAGACACGGUCCAGACUCCUACGGGAGGCAGCAGUGGGGAAUAUUGGACAAUGGGCGCAAGCCUGAUCCAGCCAUACCGCGUGGGUGAAGAAGGCCUUCGGGUUGUAAAGCCCUUUUGUUGGGAAAGAAAAGCAGCAGGUUAAUACCCCGCUGUUCUGACGGUACCCAAAGAAUAAGCACCGGCUAACUUCGUG
rnacentral:rRNA from 1 species